rnacentral:rRNA from 1 species
AUUGAACGCUGGCGGCAGGCCUAACACAUGCAAGUCGAACGAGUGGCGGACGGGUGAGUAAUGUCUGGGAAACUGCCCGAUAGAGGGGGAUAACUACUGGAAACGGUAGCUAAUACCGCAUACUAUCGGAUGUGCCCAGAUGGGAUUAGCUAGUAGGUGGGGUAAAGGCUCACCUAGGCGACGAUCCCUAGCUGGUCUGAGAGGAUGACCAGCCACACUGGGACUGAGACACGGCCCAGACUCCUACGGGAGGCAGCAGUGGGGAAUAUUGCACAAUGGGCGCAAGCCUGAUGCAGCCAUGCCGCGUGUAUGAAGAAGGCCUUCGGGUUGUAAAGUACUUUCAGCGGGGAGGCGUUACCCGCAGAAGAAGCAUCGGCUAACUCCGUGCCAGCAGCCGCGGUAAUAC